rnacentral:hammerhead_ribozyme from 1 species
GCACUGCUGAGGAGUCCUAUAAUAGGACGAAACGGCCGUCCAGUAU